rnacentral:rRNA from 1 species
UACGUAGGGGGCGAGCGUUGUCCGGAAUCAUUGGGCGUAAAGAGCGUGUAGGCGGCCAGGUAGGUCCGCUGUGAAAACUCGAGGCUCAACCUCGAGAUGUCGGCGGAAACCAUCUGGCUAGAGUCCGGAAGAGGAGAGUGGAAUUCCGUGGUGUAGCGGUGAAAUGACGCAGAGUAUCAGGAAGAACACCCGUGGCGAAGGCGGCUCUCUGGACGGUACUGACGCGAGACGCGAAAGCGUGGGGAGCGAACAGG